UACGAAGGGGGCUAGCGUUGCUCGGAAUUACUGGGCGUAAAGCGCACGUAGGCGGAUUGUUAAGUCGGGGGUGAAAUCCUGGAGCUCAACUCCAGAACUGCCUUUGAUACUGGGGAGCUAGAGUCCGGGAGAGGUGAGUGGAACUGCGAGUGUAGAGGUGAAAUUCGUAGAUAUUCGCAAGAACACCAGUGGCGAAGGCGGCUCACUGGCCCGGUACCUGACGCUGAGGUGCGAAAGCGUGGGGAGCAAACAGGGAUUAAGAACCC
rnacentral:rRNA from 1 species